AUUUUGCAUAUAUGUGUAUAUAUAUAUAUAUGUGUAUGUGUGCAGGUUAUAUGUUUUGAGGAUUGUGAUGGCAAUAGAGGUUAGUGAAAGGUAAAAAUUGGAUGUUGCAUAUGACACUAAUCGGUAUUAGAUUAAUUGGGCAAUAGAUCAUGUGAUGUGUAUGUCUAUGAUGCAUGCAUAGAUGUAUGUAUCUGGUUAUAUAUGUUGGCAUUCGGUUAAAUCGAAUUGGGUACGCCCAUAAGCGGGUUCGAUCCGACGUUAUGUUAUCUAAUUGGAUUAGAAUUAAUCUCGCUUUCAAAUUGGAAAGUUAGUUAGAGAUAAAUCCUAGUCAUAUUAGGAUAACAAUUAAUAACCGAUUUGGCUUUAUCUCCAACGCCAUUAGGAUUUUGGAAUUCCUUAUAAAUAUGCGGGCGAUCCCACAUAACGUAAGAUACGGAAAUAACAGAAAAAGAGAGAGAAUAAGAAAAUAAUAGAGAGAAACCACAUCCUCCAUUGACCUAUUAUUCUAGAGGGACUUGCACGGUGGAUUUGUGAUCGUGCUCGUUUGUAGUUCGAUCCAUCGCGAGUUUGGAACGUGAGAAGAUUUAAUCAAGGACGAUCAAAGGACACGUGAAUCAACCUCGACGAUCUGGGCUCAUCGAGCUGUAAUCCGAAUCGCUUCUGCAAAAAGGUACGAACCGAAAACUUCCGCUGCAUUCCACAUUGGUAUCAGAGCCAUAUUAGGUUGAUUUCGUGCCCUAGAUCAACACUUUAACGAGAUUACAUGCCUAAAAUUAAAUCUAUAAUUGUUUUAGAUUUUUUCUUGUAUGCAU
rnacentral:lncRNA from 1 species